GUACUUUGGUGGGCUGUGUUCAUGUGAUUCAGUCCUCAUGAGUGACCUUUGCACAAUAUAAGGUACCUAGACACAGGACCAACAGAUGGCAAGAAACAAACCCUGCCCUGAAGAGCUUCCAGUUUCCAAGACAGAAAAGUAAUGAUAGGGGAAACCGAGGUACAAAGAGAUUAAGUGACUUGCCCAAGUUCACAGAGGAGGAACAGAGCCUGGAAAGAACCCAGGCGUGAGAAGAAGCAUGGAAACAGACUCCAGGGCAGGUUCUGUUUUGCUUCCAUCUUAUGGAAGCCCUUCUGCUAGUGUGCCAGUGGGUCACGUUUCCAGGACUGGGACCCUCUCAACCCUGCAGGAUCUUGAACUGGCUGCCUCCUCCACUCACUGACAUCCCUGAGAGGUUGGAAGGCAGCAGUUUACAGGAACACCAUGGGAACAAAGCUGCUGAAGAAGUUUUGCUGCCAUGGGAGAAGGAUGUGGUUGUGAAGAGGUUCUAGGCCCUGCUGAGUGUUUCCCACAUAAAAGACACCUGCAUCAAACAAAGCCAAUAUCACACUGGGGAGAGGCUGGUGAGAUAGCUUUGGCUCUCUUGAAAGGCUUGCAAACCUUCAUAAGGCUUUCACCAGGUCUGAGUUGGGAGAGAACUUAGAGCUAUCCAUCCACGCUUCAUGUGCUUUCAGGUAGG